CUUAAGGACCUGAACUCACUCCAGCCGAGCCAAGGUCAACUGAAAGCACAGCUGCACAACCACCCACCGAUAAAGCACCAACACAUGAUGUUGGCCCUUCGCACCAUUGUGGACAGCAUUGUGCAACACUUACUGCCAUCAGCAACCUCAGGCCCUGCAGAACAUUGUGGGCAGCUGGAGGAGAUCAUUCCCUCCAGGAACAGUUGGUCAGCUAUGUUCUGGACGAGGGUAGGCCUGCCC